rnacentral:rRNA from 1 species
CCUACGGGCGGUUGCAGUGGGGAAUUUUGGACAAUGGGGGCAACCCUGAUCCAGCCAUGCCGCGUGCGGGAAGAAGGCCUUCGGGUUGUAAACCGCUUUUGUCAGGGAAGAAAUCUUCCGAGCUAAUACCUUGGGAGGAUGACGGUACCUGAAGAAUAAGCACCGGCUAACUACGUGCCAGCAGCCGCGGUAAUACGUAGGGUGCAAGCGUGAAUCGGAAUGACUGGGGGGGUUGUGUGCGCCGGCGGUGGAAUCCCCGGGCUUAACCUGGGAACUGCACUUGUGACUGUACGGCUGGAGUACGGCAGAGGGGGAUGGAAUUCCGCGUGUAGCAGUGAAAUGCGUAGAUAUGCGGAGGAACACCGAUGGCGAAGGCAGUCCCCUGGGCCUGUACUGACGCUCAUGCACGAAAGCGUGGGGAGCAAACAGGAUUAGAUACCCUAGUAGUC